rnacentral:sRNA from 1 species
UCUGAUGCUGAGCUGGUUAGACAGGUGGCUUCCUUCUGGGACAGAUAGAGAAGAGGAACCUUCACUCAUGACUGGGUGAUAUUAUAAUUGGAACUCUGCUUGGUGCUAUCCACUAAGACCGGAAAGACACUCAAGACUGCCACAUGGGGUUCUGCUUAGAUCAAGGCCUGUUUCAGCAGCAGAUUUUCCCAGUUGCCGUUUUGAAACAGUGCUUACGUGUGACUUCAGUGCUCGGAGCCCUCCUCUGUUAAGCAUCACCAAGGAUGAAGGCUUCUUUCUGCAAGUGUCGUCCACCACAAGAAGGACUUCUGAAUCUCCAUGCCCAGCAAGGUCCUGGGUCCUCUUCUGAGAUCGCAGACAUUCAUGAGCUUCCCCCAGCCAGAAUCCUACAGGAGCCUCCAAACCAUCACUCCUCAAAUUAAGAUAAUACUGCUCAUUGGCACCAGAAAAGCUGACAAAGAACAGAAGAAGCCAUGCACAACUUCACCACACAUAAAACUCCACUGCCUUUCAGAAGGAAAAUUUUGGAAACAUGAGAUUUGGCAAGUACAGCAAAGAAGAGAACACACAGAAGAAAAGAAUUUGGCUUUUCGAAAGUGUGGGCCCCUUUCCAUAUGGCCCACGUGGAGCAGC